rnacentral:lncRNA from 1 species
AUAACAAUAGCAGCGCGCCCUUGGGGGACCGGAGUGGCGCCCCGCGCUGGCCCACGCGGCUGGGGGGGGGGGGCCGGGGGAGACCUUGUCCUCCGCCCGCAGCCCCCCGGCCCCGACCCGAGCAGGGCGCGCCAGGCGGCGGGCACGUGGCGCCGGGGACCUCCUCGGCCGGCGCGCGCCCAGCCCGCCGCCCAGCCCGCCCGCGCGCGCCCUUCCCACGAAAACCGGAAAAAGGCCGUUCCCGCGCGCGCCGCCCGGGGACCGCCAAAAAGGCCCGCGGGCGGGCGGGCGGGCCGGCGGGGUGGGGGAGGGAGGAGGGCAGAAACGAAGCGAGGAUCCGGCCGCGUCCCGCGCCACGGCGCUGGCGCCCGGCCCCACAGCGAGAAGAAAGCCUUUCCAAGGUGGCGCCACCACUCACCAGAGGAAACGGAGGGCCGAGCGGGAGACGACGGGAGCAGGACUGUGGCUUUCCACCUGCAAGUCCCAAUAAACACUUUAAAGGAGAAGGAAAGAGAGAGAAAUAAAAGAGAAAAUAUCAGAGUGCAUCUAACACAGUAAGUAUUAUUUCUUGAAACUUUUGUUUCAGUUAGGUGUGUGUAUGAUGAGUCUGCGUAAACUGGGUCAUGGUGUAAAAGAUAUUUUUUACUGAGAGCUGUGGUUUAAAAAGUUUAAGGAACAUUGUUGUAAGGGAAAAUGGCCAUUCCUCAAAUACUAAACAAAUACUGUCAAAAACUGUAUCUUGCUCUAGUACAGAAAAAAAGCAAGACUAAGCUCCGAGCCUGAGGGUGGAAAGACAAACAGUCACUGGGAACAGGAUAUGAAAACCACACAGACAGAGGAGUGGGCGCCCCUCCUCCCAGUUCCAAGGAGGGAGCCACCACUUCACCCCAAAGUCCCCGGGCUCCCCUAAGAGGUGGUGUGUGGCUGGGGCUGGUGAGGCUGCCCCGAGGCAGGGUUGGGGGCCGGUGCUGGGGAGGGAACAGGCAGCAGGCAGCAAUGAAAAGAUCAGAAGGGGCCAGAUGAUGACUUCAUCCUCUGAGAGAUGUGAGAUCAGUUCUGUUGUUUCACAAGGGGAUGACCCUACACCACAUGGAGGGCAACAAUUUUUUUUUUUUAAGAUUUUAGUAAUUUAUUCAUGAGACACACUCAGAGAGGCAAGAGAGACAAAGGCAGAGGGAGAAGCAGGCUCCCUGUGAGGAGCCCGAUGUGGGACUCCAUCCCAGCACCCCGGGAUCACACCCAGAGCCAAAGGCAGACGCUCAACCACUGAGCCACCCAGGCGUCCUGAGGGCAGCAAUUUGAAAGCUAUUGUUGUAAUGGUCCCUGGUUCAAGAUAAGCUUUUCAGGUUUAUCUGAAUAUGGGUGCUGAUAAAAACUUAGGAUAUACAGUUAAACAUUCGUCUGAUACAAAUGUCCAGAUUUUUAUUUUCUUCAUGUUUCCGCUUUGCUACCUAGCCAGAACCAGCACUGGUGUCUGCCCACUGGGCUCGGCCUGCUUUCCUUCCUUCUGUAUCCCCCAGCCUCCUUGCUGGCCCUCCCUGUCUCCUCUCAUUAUCCCGGCUGAGCAUUAAACCCUCCAGCUGAGGAGAUGAGAAGUGCUUUCCCUUAACACCUCUCCUUGCAUAGCCCGGGGGCUGCCCGCAGGCUGGCUUGAGACUGGUGCAAGGCUAACAGUCUGCCUUUCCGCUCAGCAAACAAGCUGGGAGUGGCUCCUCUUCCUGCUUGUGAAUCUCCGCGGAGGAAGUAGAGAUGGAAGAGGAGAGCAAAAGCAACAAAAGAGCUAGCAUUUCAUUUCUCCUUUGCAUGCAAAAGGAGUUUUGAACCUGUUGAUCCAGACUAUAGUGUCUACCUUUUCCUAGUAAUUUCGUUGAGCCCCUACUAACUGGAAAGAGUCUAGACAAAUAUCAAAUAUCAAUUUACAGCUAUGAAAGGGCUAACGUCUAGGGCCUGUGAGAAUUCACCUACCUCAUCCCAGCCUCACUGUGGCCACCUUCCUCCCAUAAUGUUCAGCUUGAUUUUGAACCCCAACACAUCUCCAAGAAGGUUACGUAUGCACUCUUCUAUGUUGUCCAUUGUUCUGCAAAGGCUGGUCUUCUUGACUCCCCGCACCAACCCCUUUCCUGCACCUCUGCUCUCAGUGGGUUCUACUGCCUGGAAUUCCUUCGCCCCCUUUCCCACACCAAUCUGAAUCCUACCUACAAUCUCAUCUCCAGGAAGCCAGCCCUCAAGGAAUGCUCAGAAUUCCUGAAAUCUUUAUGGCCUUUACAUCUUUAUGAAUGAUAAGGGACUAAUUCAUUUCCCUAUUUUUAUAGCUUCAUGGUGUUAAAUGUUAAUUACUGAGGUUGUAGAUUCUUAGAACCCAGAGGGGCUAAUUCAUUCUUCUGUGUCUGACACAGAGCUGAGAAUAUAAUAUGAUCUGAGAACUGAGACCUCCUACAGACCUGGUACAAAAUCUGAGUUCAAGUCCCUGGGACCUUGGCAGCUUCCUGAAUCCCACUGAGGCAUGACUUCCUCUCUUGUAAAACUAGGAUCGUAACAGCACCUACCAUUUAGAGAUGUUGCACGGGUUAAGUGAACUGCAGGGUAAUGUUUAACAUAUAAGGGAACAAUUAUUUUCACUGGAAUGUGAGAUAGAAGUCAAAGGGCAUUCUUUACUACUUAUUUCUAAGUAUAUUCCAUUUUUAGGGGUUUCCCCAUCCUAGUGACUUUCGUGUUAUUUUUAUUUAUUUUUGAAAUGAAAAUAAAUUUAUUUUUUGAAAAAUCAAAACGGCUCCAAAAGCCAAGUCAGAACAAGAAGAUAUUUCAGAGAAGCAUCAUCCCCCUCAUUCCCUCUGGCCUUUCCAUCCUGUUUUCACCAUGCCCUGCAGCUAACUAAUCUCAUUAGUCUAGUUUUCACUUUUUCUCUUUCUUUUCCCUUGAAUAAGUAGUUAAAUGCCCUUAUUUCCUCCCCCCAAAUGAUAUUCUUGAGAUGAUGUUCUCUUGAGAUGGGAUUUUCAGGACCCUGAUCAUCUUUUGCACAGCUGCUUGGGAGGUGCUUGCAAGCAGGAGCUAAUAAUCCUCACCCAGAUUACUCAUAGUGAGAACAACUGACACUCCUCACAGGACUGGCUCCAUCCCAGGUACCAAAGGUGUCUCUAUGACAGGUAAUGAGGCCACAGCCCUAUUCCUGCCACAGGAGGCUGAGCCCUAAUGAGGCAUCUCCACCAAGCCUGCUGAUUCUCCUGGACAGGGUGAAAAUGCCAGCAUGCCUGCGUUGAGGAUACACUUGUAUAACACUGGAUUUUUUAAUUUAUUAUUUUUUAAAAGACUUUAAUUUUUUUAAUUUUUUAAGAUUUCAUUUAUUUAUUUGACAGAGAGUACAAGCAGGGGAUGCGGGAGAGGUAAAAGCAGGCUCCCCACUGAGCAGGGAACCUGGUGUGGGGCUCCAUCCCAGGACCCUGGGAUCAAGACCUGAGCCAAAGGCAGACACUUAACCUACUGAGCCACCCAGGUGCCCCAACACUGGAUUUUUAAAAAACCAUGCUCAAUCCUUGCAAAGCUACUACAGACACAUGCUGUAUCCCUGGGACCUUCUUCACACAAUGUGGGGAAUCAGCACUUCAUGCCGCUAGGCAUUACUUCUUGGUGAGAUCUGGGGAAUUAAGGUUGAAAGUCCCCUGGGUACUUCUCCAUAGGACCUCAUUUCAAGGAGUAAAAGACCUGAGUAAAUAGAAGUUUCUAGCUGUCCCGAGGUGGCCAGAGGAAGUGGAGUGCCACAGUGUGCCACAGCUGGAGGUAUUCAUUGGAAAAAGCAGUGGGAGGGAAGUUCUGUCUUGGAGUCAAGCUGUCCGCAAGUCAGCUCCGAAGCUGUGACUCACUGUGAGGAAAAGGAGGGCCCUGUAUCCUGGGGGAGGCUACUUUCUCCAAACAGGGGAUCGGAGGCCAAGGAAGGAAAUGAAGUAAUCCAGGACCAAGCAGCCCGCAGGGCAGGCGGAGCUGGAAGUCCAAUCCUGCCCAGCUACCGAGUUUGAAAGAGGGGAAUGACACCAAAGGGACCCCACUGGUGAGAAAGGGAAUAAUCGGGCCUGAUCUUGGGCAAAUUGUGUUCCCUCUCAGGACCUCAGUUUCUCACCAUAAGAUGAAAGAGAGGCCU